UAGAAGGGACUUUAAACAUGGACA
rnacentral:piRNA from 1 species